CGUAGGCGGUCAGGUAAGUCGAUUGUGAAAUCCCCGGGCUUAACCUGGGAAUUGCAGUCGAUACUGCCUGGCUAGAGUGUGGAAGAGGGAAGCGGAAUUUCCGGUGUAGCGGUGAAAUGCGUAGAUAUCGGAAGGAACACCAGUGGCGAAGGCGGCUUCCUGGUCCAACACUGACGCUGAGGCGCGAAAGCGUGGGUAGCGAACA
rnacentral:rRNA from 1 species